rnacentral:rRNA from 1 species
ACUACGGGAGGCAGCAGUGGGGGAUAUUGCACAAUGGGGGGAACCCUGAUGCAGCGACGCCGCGUGGGUGAAGAAGCGCCUCGGCGCGUAAAGCCCUGUCAGCAGGGAAGAAAAUGACGGUACCUGAAGAAGAAGCCCCGGCUAACUACGUGCCAGCAGCCGCGGUAAUACGUAGGGGGCAAGCGUGAUUCGGAUUUGAUGGGUGUAAAGGGGGCGCAGACGGCGAGGCAAGCCAGGAGUGAAAGCCCGGGGCCCAACCCCGGGACUGCUCCUGGAACUGCGUGGCUAGAGUGCCGGAGGGGCAGGCGGAAUUCCUGGUGUAGCGGUGAAAUGCGUAGAUAUCACGCAGAACUCCGAUUGCGAAGGCAGCAUACCGGCGCCCAACUGACGCUGAAGCACGAAAGCGUGGGUAUCGAACAGGAUUAGAUACCCUUGUAGUC